UACGUAGGGUGCAAGCGUUGUCCGGAAUUAUUGGGCGUAAAGAGCUCGUAGGCGGUUUGUCGCGUCUGCUGUGAAAACUCAGGGCUCAACUCCGGGCCUGCAGUCGAUACGGGCAGACUAGAGUUCGGUAGGGGAGACUGGAAUUCCUGGUGUAGCGGUGAAAUGCGCAGAUAUCAGGAAGAACACCAAUGGCGAAAGCAGCUCUCUGGGACGGUACUGACGCUGAGACGCGAAAGCGUGGGGAGCGAACAGG
rnacentral:rRNA from 1 species